CGACUGGUUGGCGACUUUGCUUCGGGAGAGUUCGUGGCGAUCUCUUCAGACGGGUUACAGGGUCAUCGAUACACCGUGCAUCAACAAGUGGAUGCUGAGAAAUCGUUGCUGGAGUGGCUGGAGGGUCAAAGUUUUGAGGACUUCUGUUAACUCUUGAAGUCCUGGAAUGUGCAUGUUUGUGUCUCUGUUAGUUCAAUCGAUAAAGUACACAUUAUUACUUCCGUGAUUUCCAGUACUCCAAGCUAGAGCGAUGUUGUGAAUGCUCUAUGAUGUGUUCGGAUAAAAAGGAAUUCAUUUUAAGCUCCAGAAGUGUUCACUUAUUUCAGGAUGACAACAAUUUUAUACUUCCAUAGAUGCAUUGUUUCGUCUGGUGGUUGUAUCAUCGGGACUGUUAAAUGUGUGGUGUUUAUGGUAGAAGGUGCCACGUGUUGUCAUCUUCUCACAGCUACUUGAGUGUUGAAGUUUAUUCUAGACUUCGUCACGUUAAGGUGGUGCUUUGUAGUCAUAUCGGAUUACUUGUUGAUGUGGUGUGAUGCACAGUGGUUGUGAGGUGGUCCAAUUCCUGAUUUUACUGUCGUGACUAAGUGGCCUUGUUGAGCUAAAGUUGGAGAAAGACUGUGAUCAUAACGUUGCCCUAUAUUU